rnacentral:rRNA from 1 species
GACGGAGGAUGCAAGCGUUAUCCGGAAUUAUUGGGCGUAAAGCGUCCGCAGGUGGCUGUUCAAGUCUGCUGUCAAAGCGCAGAGCUUAACUCUGUACAGGCGGUGGAAACUGAAGAGCUAGAGUAUGGUAGGGGUAGAGGGAAUUCCCGGUGUAGCGGUGAAAUGCGCAGAUAUCAGGAGGAACACCGGUGGCGAAGGCGGGUCUCUGGGGCCGAUACUGACGCUGAGGAGCGAAAGCGUGGGGAGCGAACAGG